rnacentral:rRNA from 1 species
GUGGAUUAGAUACCCUGGUAGUCCACGCCCUAAACGAUGUCAACUAGUUGUUGGGAAUUCAUUUUCUCAGUAACGUAGCUAACGCGUGAAGUUGACCGCCUGGGGAGUACGGUCGCAAGAUUAAAACUCAAAGGAAUUGACGGGGACCCGCACAAGCGGUGGAUGAUGUGGAUUAAUUCGAUGCAACGCGAAAAACCUUACCUACCCUUGACAUGCCACUAACGAAGCAGAGAUGCAUUAGGUGCUCGAAAGAGAAAGUGGACACAGGUGCUGCACGGCCGUCGACAGCU